rnacentral:ncRNA from 1 species
UGUCUUCGGGGCGGGGUGAAAUUCCCCACCGGCGGUAAUGCGGUUUAACCGACAAGCCCGCGCGCGAAAGCUGAUUUGGUGUGAUUCCAAAGCCGACGGUAUAGUCCGGAUGGAAGAAGAA